AUGGGAGCUCUAAUCGGAGCUAGAAUGGGACAUAAUCUGCUUCGUCCCUUGAACAUGGAGAAAAAUCAAAUUCACAUAUGGACAGAUUCAGUAAUUGUCUUACACUGGAUACAGAGUUCUGCACAGAAAUGGAAACCAUCUGUAGGUAAUCGAGUAGCUGAAAUACAGAAUCUCACAAACCCUGAAUCUUGGUCCCAUUGUAAUGGGAAAGACAAUCCCGCUGAUUUAGCCACUCGAGGAAAGAGCGUAGAUGAUCUCAUACAGAGUGAACUCUGGUGGUAUGGGCCGGCAUCUUUAGUUCCAGCUCACUUGGAAGAGCCUGAGCAAAAUUGUGUUGCGGAAAUGAACAUUGAACUGAGGUCUAAGUUUCAGGUCACCGUGCAGUUUGGUGGUGUUUCAACAACAGGACCUUUUUUGGAUUUAUCCAAAUUUAGCAGACUGAAGACAGUGUUGCGAAUAACUGCAUGGAUAAAGAGGUUCAUAACUAAUGCCCGAUCAAGAUGUAAAAUCCAAGGCGAGCUCACAGCAAAAGAACUUCUUGCAGCUGAAAUGUACUGGGUAAAGAUGACUCAGGAACAGAGUUUCAGCAAGGAAAUACAUUUGCUCAAACUAGGAAAAAUGGUUGACAAAGACUCAAAGAUCAAGGAUUUGAAACCCUUCUUAGAUGAAAAUGAACUCAUUAGUGUAGGUGGACGAUUACAACAGUCUUCAGAGUUCAGCUUCAGAGAAUGGCACCCAUGGGUGCUCCCCACAAAGCAAAGAUAUUCGGAAUUACUAGUUCAGAGUUAUCAUGAAAGAGUGAUGAAUUCAGGUGUAAGAGAUACACUGGUUCAGGUUAGAGAGAAAUAUUGGAUUUUGCGUGGCCGACAGCUUGUGAAGCAAAUAGUAGGACACUGUCAUGUUUGUAAUAGAUUGAAAGCCAAGGCAGCUCAGCAAACUACUGCACCUCUGCCAAAGGACAGAGUUACUGAAGCACCACCCUUUGAAGUCACAGGGGUCGAUUUUGCUGGCCCAUUAUAUGUUAAAUCGAAUGGUGUACCAAAAAAGGCAUAUAUUGCACUUUUUACAUGUGCUGUUACUCGGGCGAUACAUUUAGAGUUAGUGUCUGAUCAGACCACAUAG
rnacentral:lncRNA from 1 species